GACGAACGCUGGCGGCGUGCUUAACACAUGCAAGUCGAACGAAGAGCGACGGAAGCUUGCUUCUCUCAAUCUUAGUGGCGAACGGGUGAGUAACGCGUAAUCAACCUGCCCUUCAGAGGGGGACAACAGUUGGAAACGACUGCUAAUACCGCAUACGAUCUAACCUCGGCAUCGAGGAUAGAUUCAAGGUGGCCGCGACAUGUAAGCUAUCACUGAAGGAGGGGAUUGCGUCUGAUUAGCUAGUUGGAGGGGUAACGGCCCACCAAGGCGAUGAUCAGUAGCCGGUCUGAGAGGAUGAACGGCCACAUUGGGACUGAGACACGGCCCAGACUCCUACGGGAGGCAGCAGUGGGGAAUCUUCCGCAAUGGACGAAAGUCUGACGGAGCAACGCUGCGUGAGUGAUGACGGCCUUCGGGUUGGAAAGCUCUGUUAAUCGGGACGAAAGGCCUUCUUGCGAAUAGUGAGAAGGAUUGACGGUACCGGAAUAGAAAGCCACGGCUAACUACGUG
rnacentral:rRNA from 1 species